CAAUAGCGUAUAUUAAAGUUGUUGCAGUUAAAAAGCUCGUAGUUGGAUUUCUGGUUGAAGCGACCGGUCGGGCGUUGAUUCGUCUGCACUGGAGUCGGUUUUGGCCAUCCUCUAGGAAAGUGCGUCUGGUAUUAAGUUAUCGGGCGUAUGAUCCUGGUCUUUUACUGUGAAAAAAUUAGAGUGUUUAAAGCAGGCCUUCGCCUUGAAUACAUUAGCAUGGAAUAAUAAGAUAGGACUUUGGUCUAUUUUGUUGGUUUGCAGACCGAAGUAAUGAUUAAUAGGGAUAGUUGGGGGUAUUUAUACUCCGAUGUCAGAGGUGAAAUUCUUAGAUUUUCGGAAGAUAAACUUAUGCGAAAGCAUUUACCAAGGAUGUUUNCAUUAA
rnacentral:rRNA from 1 species